GACGAACGCUGGCGGCGUGCUUAACACAUGCAAGUCGAACGGAAAGGCCCUGCUUGCAGGGUACUCGAGUGGCGAACGGGUGAGUAACACGUGGGUGAUCUGCCCUGCACUUCGGGAUAAGCCUGGGAAACUGGGUCUAAUACCGGAUAGGAGCCAUUUUUAGUGUGAUGGUUGGAAAGUUUUUUCGGUGUAGGAUGAGCUCGCGGCCUAUCAGCUUGUUGGUGGGGUAAUGGCCUACCAAGGCGGCGACGGGUAGCCGGCCUGAGAGGGUGGACGGCCACAUUGGGACUGAGAGACGGCCCAGGCUCCUACGGGAGGCAGCAGUGGGGAAUAUUGCACAAUGGGCGCAAGCCUGAUGCAGCGACGCCGCGUGGGGGAUGACGGCCUUCGGGUUGUAAACUCCUUUCGCUAGGGACGAAGCUUUUUGUGACGGUACCUAGAUAAGAAGCACCGGCUAACUACGUG
rnacentral:rRNA from 1 species